GUAGAAAUCUCAACGCAUACUGCACAAAGGGGAUUUAUCCUCUUUGUACAUACAUAUCAGUGUCGCUC
rnacentral:rRNA from 1 species